GGCAAUGUUAGCUCAGUGGUUAAGGUGUUGGUCUACUGCUUAACAGGUCAUGAGUUCAAACCCCAGCACUACCA